GACUCUCGGCCACGGAUAUCUCGGCUCUCGCAUCGAUGAAGAAUGUAGCGAAAUGCGAUACUUGGUGUGAAUUGCAGAAUCCCGUGAACCAUCGAGUCUUUGAAUGCAAGUUACGCCCGAGGCCUCUUGGUCGAGGGCACGUCUGCCUGGGUGUCA
rnacentral:rRNA from 1 species